rnacentral:rRNA from 1 species
UGGACAAUGGGGGGAACCCUGAUCCAGCCAUGCCGCGUGUGUGAAGAAGGCCUUUUGGUUGUAAAGCACUUUAAGCGAGGAGGAGGCUUACCUGGUUAAUACCUGGGAUAAGUGGACGUUACUCGCAGAAUAAGCACCGGCUAACUCUGUGCCAGCAGCCGCGGUAAUACAGAGGGUGCGAGCGUUAAUCGGAUUUACUGGGCGUAAAGCGUGCGUAGGCGGCUUUUUAAGUCGGAUGUGAAAUCCCCGAGCUUAACUUGGGAAUUGCAUUCGAUACUGGGAAGCUAGAGUAUGGGAGAGGAUGGUAGAAUUCCAGGUGUAGCGGUGAAAUGCGUAGAGAUCUGGAGGAAUACCGAUGGCGAAGGCAGCCCCCUGGACAAAGACUGACGCUGAGGUACGAAAGCAUGGGGAGCAAACAGGAUUAGAUACCCUGGUAGUCCAUGCCGUAAACGAUGUCUACUAGCCGUUGGGGCCUUUGAGGCUUUAGUGGCGCAGCUAACGCGAUAAGUAGACCGCCUGGGGAGUAC